AGUAUUCGUUUCCUGCCUCGGAUUUGUGCGAACAUUGAUGAAAAGCCAAUCACAUCGUGAGGAUGGUGAUUAACAUAACGCUGCCUAAUGAAUUAAUUCCGCCAGUGCAUCCGAAGCUGCCAAGUGGGGUUGAAUCCCGGGUAAUGUUUGCAGCCACAAAAUGGAAGCAGCCUGGGACCCUGAAAAGAAUCUCCCAGCACACACAAGACCAUAAUUCACAAGCACAACAGUGGAGUUGCUACGGAGACGUGAUGAGCACAGCAGAAGGAAUUCUGGGACUGCUUCACAGGAACGUGAAGUGUGUGAAGCCAGCCCUCACAGCGGCUUUAAAUAAAGGCUGCUGGAAGUGACGCUGACAGGAGGAGGCGGAGGUUUGAAACGGGUCCAUAAUUAAGUGAAGGAGAGAGACACGUGAAGGAUUUGGCAAGCGUCAGCAGGAAUGAGUGCCUGUUUGUACGGAGAAUAAAAGGAAAACAGUCUCCACAUGGUGAUAAAGCCAGGCUGGUGACAUCCAUAGGGACAGAGAGGGCCCGGCUCCCCUUAACCGCUUAGAAAAUUCAGAGGGCUAGCGUCUUCCACAGCAGAGUUUCUGCUUGUGUCUGCCGUCCGUCAGGCAAAACACAGUGAGUCAGAUACUCGGGUUUAGAGUGGCGAGGUGACACGGCUUAAGCCAAAGAUGAGUACCUGGGAGUGUGUAUUCCUGCUGCUCCUGACAAACGUUUAAGCACCUUCUGCGUGCAGUUGUGAUGACAUGCCGUGACUCUGCUGCCUUAUGAUGCCCUCUGUCUUAAGAAUUUGGAAGAAGAGCAAAACUCUAAGUAAAUAGUCACAUGCAAUUACAUAUUUACCACCCUAAAUAGUGUUGGGAAGGAAAAUGGUAAGAGCAUAUAAGACUGAGGCCCGAGGAGGUUCUAGAUGGUCUCUGGUGGAGAAAAUGGUACAGCAAGCUCAGUGCUGAGAGCGGAGAGCUAAGCACACAGGACUCGGCUGUCGAUUCAGGUCGGAACUAAUAAGAGCUGUGAGGACCUGGGAUUUAGUGGGUAAAACCAGAAUAGCUGUAAUAGAUUACCGGUGGAUCCUGGAUGUAGAGACCUACAAGGCACGUACCUUCCCGGCAGCCAAGGGCGCGCAACAAGGGAGGCACAAGAAGUAGUCAGAGAGCAGGCUCCUAGAAGCCAGGGUAGCUGGGAACUUCACGGAGAAGGGGGGCGCCGUACAGUCAGGUGUCUCCUGGAAAUAAGACCACCUGUGACUUGGAAGGGCUGAGCCCAAGAGCCUUGAUUCAGCGGAGAAUGUGUUUUGCUGUCUACGUCUCCCAGGCCCCACCCACCCCCCAGUACCUGACCUGAAAGAGUCAGGAGAGGAAGCAGGGCCUCGCUUGGAGGCCUUGUUUUCCCUGAGACCUUGGAAACCUCUGCCUGCCUCUCUGAUUCUCAACUUCUUUACCUAGAAAACAGACAUAAAAUAGUGUCUUCUUAUUAGCAAGCAAAUGGUCAGUGCUGUAUCAAGAAAAGAGGGAAACAUGAAUGGACAGACGAGGAACAUUCGCCUCCAUAUCUUCGCUGCUCAGCACGUAGGAACUGGAAACCAUAAACAAACAAACAGCAACAACAAAAAAAAUCCAAAACGAUAUUCAUUCCCUCUCGUCUCAUCUCAUUUAUGUAACGCCAGCAAAAUUUUCCCUUGAGAGAAAAUUGAAGACGAAGCAUACAAAAUCCAGCAAAGUUCCCUCUGAAAUCCAAAGGCAAAACUCGCAGUCUUCUCUCCUGAGCUGCCACACUCGGAAGUCUAUGCCAUGCAACUGAUGGCCCCGACGGAAAUGCAGUUAUUUCUGACACUUCGUGUCGAUAACCUGCUGGAGCCCAGAGGGAGGAUGUGGUCCUCUAACUCUGGUGCCAGAGCUGGAACUCGGCACCCGAGCACUGUAAGUUUUUGUUGCCUGCUCUUUUCUGUGCCUGCGUCCUGGGAAAAUAAGAGCAUGGAAGGGAGACAGGGCGAGCCAAGCAAGGCACGGUGUCUGGCUGAAGAGAGCGGAGGACAAAUGAGAAGCAUGUGGUUCUCCUUUUAGCUGUCGCACACUCUACACUUCCAGAGCAGGAAGGGAAGCCUCCCGCUCCAUCCUCCCAAGCUCAUGCAAACAAGCAGUAGGGAGUAAGGACUGUCGCCUGUCACCAUCGCAAGUCACCAUCGCUAGAUCCCAGCAGGAGGGGGCGAAGGUGCCGAGGAGAUCAGAGACCAGAAGGAGUCUUGCAGGAAGACGGCAGGCUUUAGGGAAGAACGCGUCGGAGGGACAAAGGGCAGGUUGCCGCUUGAGAAGCCCCGCACGUGGGAGAUGAAGGAUGGCCGGGCCCUGGAAGCUGUGUCCCCGCUCCUCUGAGAUUCCUCGUGUUCCGGAGGCAGAGGGUCAGCAACUCUUCCUGACACUCAGGACUUGGCCUUCGCCAGGAAGAAUGAACGCUAUUGACUCAAUGCUGCCACCUCGUGGUCAUAUGUCAUAAUUCAUCUGAACUGCUGAAUUGAAGUUCUCUCAUGCUAGGUGCGGCUUUAAAGCUUUUAGAAUAACGACGGCUGUGGUCACCGUAACUGACCAGCGGAUAUUCUAUCAAACUCUGCAAAACGUCACGUGAAUAUGUUUUAAUAAAUGACGACGAUGAUGGAGGAGGAGGAGGAAAACACCCAGGACCCCUUUGCCGUGGCUGAGUGGAGAGUUCAGUCGAGCUGAGCUGACCCGGCGGUGGGCUGGGGUGGGACUGGGCUGCCGGCUCCUUGUCAACUGUGGCUCAAGGCCGCGUCCCAGCUGGGGUUUAUUGAAGUCAUUAUUAAAAAUAUUCUUACAGGUGUGUUCCCAGGGUGUUCCUGGAAAUGGCAGAAAUGCUCUUUCACGCACAUACAUUGUACGUAAUGCCUGCAGCCUGUUAGGGCCUGAAUUUAGGACCAAACUCCUUUCCCAUGCCCUUGAGAUAUUGUUGCAGUUUAAACCUUGGCCACCUUCUA